rnacentral:misc_RNA from 1 species
ACGAGUUUUAAUUGUUAGGUGUAGGGAGUUGAGCUGGUGGUAAUCUAAUUAAUAUGUGCUUCUCUAAUCGAAGAAAGUCCACUCAUUACUUAACACUUGUGAACUUAUUCAUACAAACAUUAUUAUUUGUUAUUGGAACGUUUGAUUAUUAAAAAGUUAAUACAAG